rnacentral:ribozyme from 1 species
UUGCAUUUGUGUGCCGAUUCCAUUCUCCGUCUACCUCUCUUCUUUGCUGUCUUUCCCACUCUCAUGAAGAAG